rnacentral:rRNA from 1 species
AUGGACUCCAUCAAGAUCAAGCUCGCCGUGGACAGGUCGCGGAACCGCGUGCUGUUCGCUGACGCCGGCUCCGACUUCAUCGACGUCCUCCUCAGCUUCCUCACGCUCCCGCUCUCCGCCGUCCAGUUCUGUGCGGCGUCAUCGCCGGGAUGUCUCUCUAACCUCUGCGACAGCGUCAGCCGCCUGACCGAAGGUAAGCUGCUCAAGGUUGAGGCCUGCCAUGGCAUGCUUCUCACGCCUUCGACCGCCCAUGAGUUUGGAGGGAGCGGUUUCUGCAAUUCUCAUGAUACGUUUGUCAAGAACCAGCCAAGCCUACAGGUAGAUGGAGAUUUCUGCAGGUGUUGGCAAGUCAUGGCUAGACUCGUGCAUGUCUACAACAGAGUAAGCUCUGGGUCUGGGACGUUCGUGAGGUGUAAAGAACAGUUUAUGAUUAGCGAUGACUGGACGAUCAUGCCGGCGUCGACUGGCACCAUGCAGUCGCUGGCUCACAACUUUGGCCCUGGUGCCAUCCUCAAUGACUUUGAGGAGCUGGAAGUGUACAUCGGCUGGACGGAGGUUGUAUCCAUGCUGAAGGCUUCUCUGUCAUCGGACACCAUAUUCACUGAUGUAUUUCUACCCAUGGGAACCGUUGAUCAGGAUGCUCUUGCCACGGUGAAACCGAUCAUCAACAAGAAAAUCAUAGUAGCUCCCAGUGAAGAUUCCGGACCUCGUGCUCCACUAGAAUGCAAGAUCAAGCUGUUCUAUGAUGGGCUGGAGAAAAAGGUGAUGUAUGCUGAAUGCAAGCAUGAGUUUGUUGAUCUGCUCCUUGGUUUCAUGGCUUACCCACUGGGCUGUGUGAUCAAGAACAUGUAUUAUAAUGGCGUCACCUCUCCUCUGAUCAAUGGUGGUGGCUUCGACAAUCUGUACAUCAGCGUCGUCGAACUUGAUGCAGCAGGCUUCAUAACAAGUGGGAAGCCCAGUGAGACGUUGCUGAAUCCACCCCUUAGCCCGUUCAGUGUGCGCUCAAAGUGCGGCACUCUCAAAGAACACGAAGUGGAACCGAAAAAUUACAUGGGCCUGGUAUCAUAUAGCUGGUGUGCUGGCUGUUGUCAUGACCUGGUCGAAGACCGAAACUAUGUGGUGAGCGAUGAUCUACUGAUCCACCAGGCCUCCGGGAUGUCCGUGACGAAGCACUGGUGCAGGAGAGACAAGGCUAACGUUGUCGAGACGGAGAUCACCAUCGGGAAACCAGAGGCUGUUGAGCUGCUGCAAGCCAUGCUUACCUCGAGGACACCGCUGACGGACGUGUUGAACAAAAGGCUGGAGGAACACUCCUCCCUGCAAAAAAUGCAGAUCUCUGUCGAGUUCCCUGCAGGUAAGAUCAUAACCGUGGAGGUUUCGAGAUUCGACACCAUUGCCACCGUCAAGUGCAGGAUCAAGGAUCAGGUGCCCAUUCCAGCAGGUCUUCGUCAUGAAUUGUUCUACGGCAGCAAAAUUUUGGAAGACUCGUGCACCGCUGCCGAAUACAAUCUUGUCAGCAAAUGUAGCAUCACCUGCGAAUUUCGUCAAGUAAACGACUAG